ACAAGGCAUUGGCUGUAAGUGACUGUUGAGCCAGAAGAGGUAUUGGUAUUCUACAGACUCUAAGAUACACCAAAAUACAUACUACAAGAUAAUAAGAGCACUUAAAGAACGAUGAUUUUUCUAUGCAAUUGUUCUUCUGAGAAACCUCCAUCUCCAUUGUGAUCGUGAUCAUGAUCAUGAAAAAUUAGUGUCAAGAUUCCUACCAAACAUAAAAC
rnacentral:misc_RNA from 1 species